AUAUUUUAUAGUGAUAUUGUGUUGUUAUUUUCAGGAAUGGAAACCAAUCACAGAAUCCAAAUAGCUCAACCUUUGAGAUCACCAUCCCUCAUAUGUAUUUGAUCCAUGUGUAUGGGGAGAACAACAGCAACCUGAAUCAAAUUCAACAGAUCUCUGGUGCAAACGUGGUUGUUCAUGAUCCAAAACCUGGUGCUACAGAAGGGCUGGUGAUUGUAUCUGGAACACAAGAGCAAACUCACUCUGCUCAGUGCCUAAUUCAAGGUUUUAUUCUAUGUGGAAUAACUACACCUUGA